CUUCAUAGUCUUGCUACAUGUUCCUUCCUUUCUGCAGUUACGUUCAAUAAAAAGAUGCUCUCUCUGUCCGUUGUUUUUUGGUCAGAGCUGAAGAACAGAUUUUGGAAAGAAAGCUGUGUGGGCCUCAUGGUUUCAGUCCAUCCUGAAGGUUGAUUGAAUGAGAAGAAGGAGGCUUGUGAAAUUCCAAUCCUGGGCCUUUCUCCCUUUGGACAGCCAGGAAGUCUAAGAAUACGCACUAAGUUUUCCCAACAAAGACCUUGGGAGCUGCUCCCGGCUCCUCAGGCAGGCCUUGUGGACAAGUGCCAUCUGCGUCCCGGUGCCAGGGCUUCUUGUGAGCCUCUCACAUGCAGGCAUGGAGGAGAUGACAGCAGAGUUGACAGCCUGGUGCUCCUGAGCCUGGGAUCCAGUUUGGGAGACAGACUGGACCUUCAGUUGGCGGGGAGCUAUGAUGUGUCCAGCCCCAGAAUUUGAAUGAUGAUUUGUUUAUCUAGUCGUAUCAGGCUCUACUUUCUUUGUCUGUGCUUAGUCAAGAGGAGAACAUGUAGGCUGGAGAAGGUAAGAAUUAAU
rnacentral:lncRNA from 1 species